UGAACGCUGGCGGAAUGCUUUACACAUGCAAGUCGAACGGCAGCACGGGGGCAACCCUGGUGGCGAGUGGCGAACGGGUGAGUAAUAUAUCGGAACGUGCCCAGUCGUGGGGGAUAACGUAGCGAAAGUUACGCUAAUACCGCAUACGAUCUACGGAUGAAAGCGGGGGAUCGCAAGACCUCGCGCGAUUGGAGCGGCCGAUAUCAGAUUAGGUAGUUGGUGAGGUAAAGGCUCACCAAGCCAACGAUCUGUAGCUGGUCUGAGAGGACGACCAGCCACACUGGGACUGAGACACGGCCCAGACUCCUACGGGAGGCAGCAGUGGGGAAUUUUGGACAAUGGGCGCAAGCCUGAUCCAGCCAUUCCGCGUGCAGGACGAA
rnacentral:rRNA from 1 species